rnacentral:rRNA from 1 species
AGCAGCCGCGGUAAUUCCAGCUCCAAUAGCGUAUAUUAAAGUUGUUGCAGUUAAAAAGCUCGUAGUUGAAUUUCGGGAUCAAUAUGUCGGUCGUGCCAUUGGUACGUACUGGUAUCAUUGAUUUCUCCUUUCUGACGAACCAUGAUGUCAUUAAUUUGGUGUUAUGGGGAGUUAGGACUGUUACUUUGAAAAAAUUACAGUGUUUAAAGCAGGCAUUAGCUUGAAUACAUUAGCAUGGAAUAAUGAAAUAGGACGUUUGACCCUAUUUUGUUGGUUUCUAGGAUCGACGUAAUGAUUAAUAGGGAUAGUUGGGGGCAUUAGUAUUCAAUUGUCAGAGGUGAAAUUCUUGGAUUUAUUGAAGACUAACUACUGCGAAAGCAUUUGCCAAGGAUGUUUUCAUUAAUCAAGAACGAAAGUUAGGGGAUCGAAGACGAUCAGAUACCGUCGUAGUCUUAACCAUAAACUAUGCCGACUAGGGAUCGGAUGAUGUUAAUUUUUUAAUGACUCA